rnacentral:lncRNA from 10 species
CUUUGCUGACUCUCUUUUCGGACUCAGCCCGCCUGCACCCAGGUGAAAUAAACAGCCAUGUUGCUCACACAAAGCCUGUUUGGUGGUCUCUUCACACAGACGCGCAUGAAAUUUGGUAAUCAGGCUGCUCCUCGCCAGGCCGAGCUGGGUCCCAAUUCUUCCUCAGCCUCCGCUCCUCCACCCUAUAAUCUUUGUAUCACCUCCCCUCACACCUGGUCCGGCUUACAGUUUCGGCCCGUGACUAGCCCUCCCCCACCUGCCCAGCAAUUUACUUUUAAAACGGUGGCUGGCGCCAAAGGCAUAGUCAAGGUUAAUGCUCCUUUUUCUUUAUCCCAAAUCAGAAGCGUUUAGGUUCUUUUUCAUCAAAUAUAAAAAUCCAGCCCAGUUCAUAACUUGUUUGGUAGCAACCCUGAGACACUUUACAGCCCUAGACCCUAAAACGUCAAAAGGCCGUCUUAUUCUUAAAAUACAUUUUAUUACCCAAUCUGCUCCCGACAUUAAAUAAAACUCCAAAAAUUAAAUUCCAGCCCUCAAACCCCACAACAGGAUUUAAUUAACCUCGCCUUCAAGGUGUAGAAUAAUAGAAAAAAGUUGCAAUUCCUUACCUUCACUGUGAGACAAACCCCAGCCACAUCUCCAGCACACGAGAACUUCCAAACGCCUGAACCGCAGCGGCCAGGUGUUCCUCCAGAACCUCCUCCCACAGGAGCUUGCUACACGUGCCGGAAAUCUGGCCACUGGGCCAAGGAAUGCCCGCUGCCCGGGAUUCCUCCUAAGCCGCGUCCCAUCUGUGUGGGACCCCACUGAAAAUCGGACUGUUCAACUCACCUGGCAGCCACUCCCAGAGCCCCUGGAACUCUGGCCCAAGGCUCUCUGACUGACUCCUUCCCAGAUCUUCUCGGCUUAGCGGCUGAAGACUGACACUGCCCGAUCGCCUCGGAAGCCCCCUAGACCAUCACGAACGCCGAGCUUUGGGUAACUCUCACAGUGAAAGGCCCAUCCAUCUGGCAGAGAAAGGGAUGCUCAGGACACAGAACAACCAUGUUACCUUAACAAGACUUCCGUGAGCACC